rnacentral:rRNA from 1 species
CCUACGGGAGGCAGCAGUAGGGAAUUUUCGGCAAUGGGGGGAACGCUGACCGAGCAACGCCGCGUGAAGGAAGAAGGAAUUCGUUCUGUAAACUUCUGUUAUAAAGGGAGCAAGACGGAUGGAGUAAAUGACAUCCGAGUUACGGUACGUUAUGGGACAGCCACGGCUAACUACGUUCCAGCAGCCGCGGUAAUACGUAGGUGGCAAGCGUUGUCCGGAAUUGUUGGGUGUAAAGAGGGAGCAGGCGGCAGCAAAGGGCUGUGGUGAAAGAGUGAAGCUUAACCUCAUUAAGCCAUAGAAACCGGGCAGCUAGAGUGCAGGAGAGGAACGCGGAAUUCCAUGUGUAGCGGUGAAAUGCGUAGAUAUAUGGAGGAACACCAGUGGCGAAGGCGACGAUCUGGCCUGCAACUGACGCUCAGUCCCGAAAGCGUGGGGAGCAAAUAGGAUUAGAUACCCUGGUAGUC